CUCGACGACAGCUAAUGCAGCCGUGGUCGGUGCAUAGAACAGUUACGCAGUAGACAUAAGGCCCGUAAGCUGGAAGCAGGACGCACCUCAUCUAACUAAGGCCACAGAAUCAAUCGAGUUAUACAGAGUACAAUGAAAAUCAAUAUUCAGACACACGUUUGGAGCUAGUGACAAGACACGAACGACUCCGGAAUAUUACGUUACAAGUUUGCGAUCACUGCGUAUCCAUGGCCCUUUCCUGAUCGGCAAAGCGAACAGAUAAGGACAUACUGGGAAGCAGUUCAAGCCACAUACGACGCCGCUCGGGCGGAUUUAUACAGACCCCAUCAGUCCGCGUUCAAGCCCGUCCGACGUAUGAGUGGCGAUGACCCGACACAACUUCCAAGCACCAGUUAUAUCGGAGAAAGAAUCGAUAUACCAUGUCAAUGCGGGUUGGGUGAUGGAUGUCCGCGACGAAUUGAACAACUGAGACGAACUCAACUAGUGCUAAGAAAUGGAAUGGAGAGGUAUUCCGCAAGGCCGUCUAUUUAUGGGCGGCCUAUUAGAGAAGAUAACUGGCAUGCGGUCGAACCACCGCAACCCCCAUCGCACUACGUUCCAAAUAUAUUCGCAGUGCAGCCAGCCUAUGAGUAUAACCAGAUGAAUUAUUAUCAGCCUCCAACGUACCAAGUGCUGCCUCCGCCAUUUUAUCCGUCUCCACGAGUCGUUGUUCCGGCGUCGCAUCCUCAAAAUGUUCUAUUUCUAAAAAAUGUUUAUCAAAAUUCACCUAGUUACACCUACGAAAGACUCAAAGCAUAUUUUCAAGAGUAAGACUUUGUUUCAUUCUUCUAUUAACCUAAAACUACUUCAAACUAUCAAACUGGGUUUAGUUCAAGCCAUAUAUAACUAACAUCCUAAUUUACUGUAUGAUAUUGGAAUGUUUCAAGGAUAUAAAACUUUACACUUACUCUGGGAGUUCGUAGACGCAGCGGCAGUAAUAUUUUCAAACGAUCCCUGCACACGUUGGGCGGCAGCCAACGUUCAGGGAAAAUAUCUGAACCCUGCCCGACCCCUCGAAGCAUACGUGCUGGACUACAACUUUGUUAUGCCCUUCCACACGUGUGGACCUAAUUGUACUUUUGAAACUCGUUAAGUGCUCACUAGAUCGUCAUUCAUUAAACCGUUCGGUUUUUCUUAUAUUAUAAAUCCUAUUAUAAAAUUAAGAAUUAGCGUUAAGAUGUUGAGAGAAAUAGUGUUUGUUUUUAUGCUGAUCUUUGCAGCGACCGUACAUUUCUAUGAGCUUUAUAAGCUGUACGAAAAGAAUAAGUCGCUGGAGCUGUUACUGGAAAUAUACCAGAAAAUUUCUAUAGAAACUGGCGAAGAUCCCCUUAACUUGACACACGUCGGACGUCGCUUGUACAUAACGGAAUAGGGACAUAGCAUAGGUAACUAUUAAAAAAGUUUCACAACAGUACGAUAAAACAUUAAUAUAAUCUGAGGAAUUACCAGUCAUGUUGGGAGACUUUUUUAAUGUGUUUUCUUAAUUUCAUUUCUUUUAAUGCACCUGUUUAAUUUUUGUUAAUGGUCCUUUAGGUUUAGCCAAUAAGAAUAUAGUCUUUUAAUCCUGUAUUGAAAUAAAUUCGAAGUAUUCGCAUUGUUUUCGGUUAAUAAUUAAAAACCAAUGUAAUCUUUCAGAAGCAGACGGACCCUGUUUCUUCCCAUUGUAAUAUUUUUCAACAUUUUUUAUAUCUAAAUCAGUUUAAUUUCUUUCACACGAAUUCAAAAUGUAAAAAAUUGUAGUUACGAUAGAUCCGGUUUGUAAUACUUUUAUUCUUUUCCAGUUUAAUAGUUUGAAGCCAAUGUUAGAAAAAAACCUGACCGCAAUUGCCAGAUAACUUUAAAGAAUCAUAAACACAUAGUAAAAUAAUAGUUCCUUUAAUAAUAUGAGAAAUGUGAAAGCAAAAGAUAGACCGAACACCAGUAUUCAAUAUUAGUGAAUAAUUCAGGGAAAAAGCAAAUUAAAGAAUUUUCCUCCUUCAAAGAACUCGCAAGGAAUUCGUUUUAAAAGAUUCCAGAAGUAGUUCUUAUACGUAGUGUAGACAUAAGUCUGCUAAACUAUUAAUCUUAUAUUUAAAAUAAUAUGGAAUGGCUAACAAACUGAAAUAAUCUCAUCUGCAAACUAGGAUUGAGGACUAGAACUUAUUAUGUUUCUUUAGUUUACAAUAUUUUAAAAUGAUAUGGUUAAAUUAUGCAAAUAGCUUUUCCUAUCGUAAAAACCUUUUUUCAUUAGACCGAACCGUUGAAUUGAAACAGGAUAGGUUAUUAGUCACUUAAAAGUAUCUUUACGCAAUUUCUAAAUAAAUAACUCAAUGAAUAACAUUUUCAACAAUGAUUCAAGCCUUGAUUGAACACUUUCUUUUCGAUAUUUUUCAUUACAUCGAAGAAAACAAAAGAAAUUAAGGCAAUUAUUGGUGCGUAGUUAAUUUUAUUAUAUAAAAGCGUCCGGGAAGUAAGCUAUCUAUAAUUAUUUGCUGGCAGAAAUCGGUAGUACGUAUUCCUGUAAUCUGUAUAGUCAUUAAUAAAAACAAUUAUUACAUCACGGGGCAUCAUUUGAGAAUGGUUGGUUUAUUUGAAAAAACCUCAAUACAUUUUUGAAACAAUGAAAGAAGAUGGUGAUCAGAUUUCACUAAUUUGGUAAUUUAAACUACAUUAAAAUCAUUUUAAAUGUGAAAUUAUAGAAUAAUGUAUAUGUAAACAAUUAUAAACAAUAUUAAGUAUUUUUCCGUAUGCAGAAAAAUACAUUAUAUAACUUUAAUGUUUUUCUUAAAUAGGAAUAUGCUUAGUAUUUUGAGAAGUAUAACAUAAUCUAUAAUAAUAUAGUUUCUACUGUCAUACACAAACAUCUCAAUCAAACUUAAUGGUCUAAUGUAAUAUUUGAAUGUUAGUCUAUAAGUCAAUCCUAAUUGGAAUAGAACUAUAGAAUAACUGUCUAUUAUGAAUUGAUAAGAUUUAAUGAAAACUAAAAUAAGGGAUUCUUUAAUAAAAUUACUCGCAUUUAUGUUGCUAAACAUCUUCUUACUACGUUGUAUUAUUUCCAGUACUGUAAAAUUUCAGUAAUUAAAAGAUUAUUAUAGUUAUAUAACUGUAUUCGUGUUAGAUUAAUAUCUUAUAGAUCAUUAAGAUUAAUAUCUUAAAUAUAGUACAUGGAAUCAGA